AACCCGGAGAAUAAAACACGAGGAACCAGAAACCUGGAGAAUAAAACACGAGGAACAAGGAGGCCUGAUGAAAAUGAAAGAAGAAAGACGAGAUCUGAAAGAGGUGGAUGGGAAAUAUCAGGAUCAGAACGAUCAUGAUGUCGAAGAAAAAUCAGUGAGUUGCAGCAUUAAAAAAACAGAAGUCAACAGGCCUUUCAGCUGCUCUCAGUGUGGAAACACUUUCACAUGUAACAGAAAUCUUAAGAAUCACAUGUUAAUUCAUGCUGGAAUAAAGCCUUUCAGCUGCUCUCAGUGUGGAAAGAGUUUUAUACAGAAAAGACACCUU